rnacentral:lncRNA from 1 species
UUACUGGAGGAAUCCUUGCUCCUCCUCCCUGUGUGCAAUGGCCGCUGGCUCCGUUCCCCUUCUUUCGGAGGAUGCAGUACCUCUCCAAGAGUGCAGGGACCUCAUCGCAUCCCUCCCGGUCGACCACCGCGUCGUCCCCGUGCGGCAAUACCAAGGGUUUUGGUGGCCGGAGAGCACCCUCCCCGGCGUCAUCGCCGUCCAACGCCACUUCAAGUCUCGACCCGAUGACGUCUUCCUCGCCACCUACCCCAAGUCCGGCACGACCUGGCUGAAGUCUCUCGCCUUCGCCGUCACGACCAGGUCGCAGUACCCGCUAUCCGACCACCCUCUCCUCCAGAUCAACCCCCACCAGUGCGUGCACUCGCUGGAGAGGAUGUUCAACCGGGGCCGCAGCUCCGAGAUCGACGCCCUGCCCUCCCCUCGCAUCCUCGCCACCCACAUGCUCCACUCCGUGCUCCCCGACUCCAUCGCCGCCUCCGACUGCCGGAUCGUGUACCUGUGGCGCGACCCCAAGGACGUGAUCGUCUCCGCGUGGCACUUCGGCGAGAAGGUGCUGGGGACCCGGGAGUACCAGGCGGAGUGGCCGGUGGACAAGGUCGCCAUGGCGCACUGCGAGGGGAUCUCCACCCACGCGACGAUCUGGGAUCACAUCCUCGGGUACUGGAGGGCGCGAAUGCACCGUCCGGAGAAGAUACUCUUCCUGAGGUACGAAGAGAUGUUGGCGGAGCCGGCGGCCAACCUGAAGAGGAUGGCCGACUUCCUGGGUUGCCCCUUCUCGCCGGAGGAAGAGAAGGCAGGCAUGGUGGAGGAGAUCGUCACCCUGUGUAGCUUCAAUAAUCUGAGCGGCUUGGCGAUAAAUAAGCCGUCGAGCGACGUGACCGAUGAGGGGACGAAGUUGCAGCUGCUGAACAAUGCAUCCUUCUUCCGCAAAGGAGAGAGGGGUGACUGGAGGAACCACAUGAGCCCGGAGGUAGCUCGGAGGAUGGAUGAAAUGACCAUGGAGAAGCUUCAAGGAUCAGGGCUGAGCUUUUGAUGUAGACGCCAACACCGCAGGAGAAGCUUUAAGGCCCUUUUGGCUGCCGUCUUUUUCUUCUGGUUUUUGCUUCCCUUUGUUAUCAGUAAUAACGCAACGCAGGCUGUAGGAAGUGUUGCGUGAUGUUGUUUCUCAUCGCUAGUUUAAUUUGCUUUUGUUUUUUGGUUAAAGAUCUGUAACUUGCAUCUACUCUUCUUUUAAUUCUCACCAACGCUUAAUUAACUCAAUUAUUUACCAACUAAACGAGUGUAUAUAUAUAUAUAUAUAUAUACCAUGUUGAGAUUAAUUAGUAUUCUUAGAAAUGCCUGUAUUCCACGAAUCUUGAAGCAGAAUGGACAUGGAUCGCGUGCCUAAGUGGACGUUCCGUGUCUACGUUUACAGUGGAGAUUCUACAGCAACCAUGUCUAGUGGAAGAGAAUCCAAUCUUCAUUAAUUGGAAGUCUAUAGCAACCAUGUCUACGUUUAUAGUGGAGAUUCUACAACAAAGUCCUAUAGUCCGAUAUCGAGAAAAUUAGACUUGUUGUCUCGUCUUAGAACUAUAAAUAAGAGCAUGAACUUUGAAGUCAGAUGCACCACAAGAAAACCUAAGUAUUUACUUUGGUUUAAGUCCACACUCAGUUAAAUAGGUGGAUUUAUAGUUUGAGUUUUUCUUGUUUAGUAUUUUUGGGUGUUUUAUGGCCUAUGAACAUCUUCCUAAGGCAUUUGUAAUAGUUCUUUUUCAUAGUAGUGAUUUGCUCCUCUUUCGUCCUUGGAUGUAGGUCAAAGUUAAUUGACCGAACCACGAAAAUAUGGUGUUCUUGUCGCUUUUAUCUUUUCACUUUAUUGUCUUUGUUGUGUUGCCAAAAUUACCUUGUGGUAAAUUUUCUAGGGCUAGCUCUAAUAAACUGGUAUCAGAGCUUGGUUUCGGGAUCUUUUGGUAACGAUGACAAUAACAAAGAUCGUUGUCGAGUAAUUCGACAUAAAUGUCAACUUCGGCUUGUGGCAACUCAAGAUGGAGGUCAUUCUAGUUCAAGACGGAGUUGAUUUGGUACUAUAGGGAGUCGAGAGCAUUCCAGAUGAUAUGUCAAAAGAAAAGCUUGCGAGUAUGGAUAAGAAGGUCCGAUCAAGCAUCAUUCUAAAUCUCUCUGACGAGGUUUUACGGGAGGUAGCUACGGAGACUACGGCUAAGAGCAUGUGGGACAAGCUUAAAGCCUUGUACAUGAAGAGGACAGUGGAGAAUCGUCUCUACUUGAAGCAGAGUCUAUAUAUGCUUCGGAUGACUGAAGGUAUAUCUAUAUUCUCACAUCUUGAUAAGUUUGAUUCUUUGGUUAUGGAUUUGGAGAAUAUAGAUGCAAAAAUCGAUGAUGAGGAUAAGGCUUUGUUACUCUUGUGUUCUCUUCCCUAAUCUUUUAAGCAUUUCCAUGAUACUUUGAUUUAUGGAAAAAAACAGUUUCGUAUCAAGAAAUUAAAUCUGCAUUGAAAUCUAAGGAGCAGAUAGACAGGAAUAUCACUGGGGAAAAUAGAGAGAAUCAGGUUGAGGGUCUGGUCGUUAGGGGGAGAAUGGAUAAAAGAGAAUUUGAUAGUAGUAGAUCUAAAUCUAGAUCUAAAUCCAGACAUAGAAAUUUGGAAUGCAGAUAUUGUCAUAAAAUGGGGCACAUUAAAUCUGAUUGCUUUAAAUUAAAAAAUAAAUUAAAGUAAAAGGAAAAUUUUAUUGAGAAAACUAUUGAAUCCGCUGAAGUUAGUGUAGCAACUGAUGAGAAUGUUGGAAAUAUUUUCUCUGCUAGUGAUGACAGGACGAGGUCUAAAAUUGAAUGGAUUUUAGAUUCAGGUUGUUCUUAUCACAUGUGUCCCAAUAGGGAUUUGUUUUCCACAUAUGAAUCUUGUAAUGGUGGAAUUGUUUUGAUGGGCAAUAAUGCCGCAUGUGAUGUUGUUGGUAGAGGCACAAUCCGAAUUAAAAUGCAUGAUGGUAUUGUGAGGACGCUCACUAAUGUUAGACAUGUUCCUGAUUUAAAAAAGAAUUUUAUCUCUUUAGGCACCCUAGAGGCCCUUGGGUGUAAAUACACAGUUAAAGGUGGAGUUAUGAAAGUUUCUAGAAGUGCUCUUGUUGUUAUGAAAGCUUGUAGGUCUGGUAGCUUGUAUAUUCUGCAGGGAACUACUGUCACAGGUUCGGUUGCAGUUUCGUCAUCAUCAUUGUCUGAUUUUGACAUCACCAAAUUAUGGCAUAUGGGUUUGGAUCAUAUGAGCGAAAAAGGUUUGAGCAUAUUGAGCAAAAGGGGUCUACUUUGUGGACAGAGUAUUGGGUCACUUGUUUUUUGUGAACACUGCAUUUUUGGAAAGCAGAAAAGAGUCAGCUUCACUUCUCCGGCAGUUCACAAAAUGAAAGGUACUCUUGACUAUAUUCAUUUAGACCUUUGGGGUCCAGCUCAUGUGCAGUCUAAAGGUGGUGCUAGGUAUAUGUUGACUUUCAUUGACAAUUAUUCCAGAAAAGUUUGGGUUUAUUUUUUGAAGCAUAAAAAUGAUGUUUUUCUAACAUUUAAACAAUGGAAGGCUUUGAUUGAGAAACAAACAGGUAAACAGAUUAAGCGGCUUCGAACAGAUAAUGGCAUGGAAUUUUGUGAAGGUGACUUUAAUGAAUUUUGCAAAAAUGAAGGAAUCGUUCGGCAUCGCACUGUUAGGAUGACGCCUCAGCAAAAUGGUGUGGCCGAACGUAUAAACAGAACACUCUUGGAAAGAGCGAGGUGUAUGAUCUCAAAUGCAGGGUUGACAAAGGACUUUUGGGUAGAGGCGAUUAAUAUGGCUCGUUACGUUGUCAACCGUGCUCCUUCUACAGCACUUAACUUUAAAACUCCGGAGGAAGUUUGGUCAGGUACUCCUGUUGAUUACUCUGAUUUAAAAAUUUUUGGGUGUCCAGCAUACAUGCAUGUAAAUGAAAGAAAAUUAGAGCCUCGGGCUAAAAAGUACAUUUUCCUUGGGUUUGCUUCUGGGGUGAAAGGAUACAGAUUAUGGUGUUCUGAUCCCAAAUCCCCAAAAUUUGUAAUCAGUAGAGAUGUUACUUUUGAUGAAUUGUUUAUGUUAUCUUCCAAAGAGGAUUCUACUAGUUGUACAAAUGAUAGUGCGCAGAAGCAGGUGGAGCUUGAGAUUGGUAAUUCAGAUUCUUUUAAGUCGAACUCUUCUACUCAAAGAAUGCCAAUAGGUGGUCCCGAGUCUACUGACGCAGAUGAUCCAGAGGAAGAGUAAUAUUCCAUAGCCAAGGAUAGACCACGAAGAGAUAUUCGACCACCAUAAAGAUAUGUAAAUUUGGUUGCAUAUGUUUUGUCUGUUGCAGAAGAGACAAGUGAAGUUGGUGAGCCUACUUCCUACUCAGAUAUAAUUUCUUGUGAUAAUUCCGCUAAGUGGUUGAUUGCGAUGAAUGAAGAAAUUGAAUCUCUCCAUCGGAAUAGAACUUGGGAUCUUGUGAAGCCGCCUUCGGGUAAGAAAAUUGUUGGAUGCAAAUGAGAUACUAUUGCUGAGGGAAAGGCCCUUGUUCAGAAAAUUCAUACGAAGGACAAUCCAGUUGAUAUGUUUACAAAGCCUCUUCCGGUUUACAAGUUCAAGCAGUGUUUGGACUUGGUUGGUGUUCAUUGUUGGUGAUUGCCUGUUAGGGCUUUUAUGAAGAAGGUGGAGCAAGUUUUGUUGGGACAUGCCAAGAUGGAGAUUUGUUAGUUUGGCAAGUCCCAUAAUCCCACAUCGGAAAAAUCAGACUUGUUGUCUCGUCUUGGAACUAUAAAUAAGGGCCUGAGCUUUGAAGUUAGAUGCAUCAUAAGAAAACCUAAGUAUUUACUUUGGUUUAAGUCCACACUCAGUUAAAUAGGUAGAUUUAUAGUUUAAGUUUUUUAGUAUUUUCGGAUAUUUUAUGACCUAGGAACAUCUUCCUAAGACAUUUGUAAUAGUUCUUUUGAUUUGCUCCUCUUGGUCAGUCCCAAGCGCCGCCACCAGCGGAGUGCCUCCGACCUGGUCUCCGGCGGAAAGGCCUUGUCGAAUUCGUGCGCCACGAGCCGGACGAAAUCCUCCAGGAGACGCAGCACGUAACCAAGCUUCUCCUUGAUCAGCUCCAGGACGUAUUGCUCGAGGUCCAAGGCUUCCCCUGCUUCCUUUGCCUUUAGCUUCCUCAUGCUGGCUUCCAUUCAGCUAAAGCAUGAACACCUUACAACUUUUGGAGAAAGAAAGAAUGACAAGUUCAUUCCUCUUGCCCAAUGUCAACUUUUGGAGAAAGAAAGAAUGACAAGUUCAUUCAGCGAAAGCAUGAACACCUUACAACUUUUAACUCUGGUUUUUUUGCUUGGCAAAUACUCAUGGCAUGGAGAAGCUCGUAACCUUUUGGUUCUCUCAGUUUGAACCCUUUCACCUGUCGUCACAAAGUUACAGACAUGGCCAACGAGCAAUAGGACUCGAUUACCGAUUGCAACAGAGAGUCUUACCGUGCUUGGAUGGGUUCACGAUUUGGACCAGGACGACCGUGUCGUUGCCCUGCACCGAGUGGGAGAGCGCCCAGAGCAGAGCAGCCUUCGCCUCCGGGCUGGAGUCCACCACGAUCAUGAUCCGCCUCCCCUGUUCCAUCUCUUGCUUACGUCCAUUGGCCAUGCGAUGUCCAUGCACGUGAGCUCUGACACCAACCUUACAGUGAGAUCUUGUGGCAGAUCUGCUCCCCAGUCAAAUCCCCAUCACUGUGUACGAGCUUUGUCCACAUUCGUAUACGAAGGUUAACGAGUGGUCACAGCACAAAGAAGGCAGACAAGGAGAAAGCCAAGACCAUGUAAUUAGUAUCUGUGAUCGUUUCGUUUCAGCCUUGGGAAAUCGUUGGGUUAGACAUUACUGGAGGAAUCCUUGCACCUCCUCCCAGCGUGCCAUGGCCGCUGGCUCCGUUCCCCUUCUUUCGGAGGAUGCAGUACCUCUCCAAGAGUUCAGGGACCUCAUCGCAUCCCUCCCGGUCGACCACCGCGUCGUCCCCGUGCGGCAAUACCAAGGGUUUUGGUGGCCGGAGAGCACCCUCCCCGGCGUCAUCGCCGUCCAACGCCACUUCAAGUCUCGACCCGAUGACGUCUUCCUCGCCAC